rnacentral:sRNA from 1 species
GCUGGGCACGGUGGCACACACCUGUUAUCCCAGUGGCUUGGGAGGCCGAGACAGGAGGAUCACAAGUUCAAGGCCAGCUCUGGCAAUUUAGUGAGACCCUGUCUCAA